rnacentral:rRNA from 1 species
GACGAACGCUGGCGGCGUGCUUAACACAUGCAAGUCGAACGGAAAGGCCCUGCUUUUGUGGGGUGCUCGAGUGGCGAACGGGUGGGUAACACGUGAGUAACCUGCCCUUGACCUUGGGAUAACUUCAGGAAACUGGGGCUAAUACCGGAUAGGAGCUCCUGCUGCAUGGUGGGGGUGGGAAAGUUUCGGCGGUUGGGGAUGGACUCGCGGCUUAUCAGCUUGUUGGUGGGGUAGUGGCUUACCAAGGCUUUGACGGGUAGCCGGCCUGAGAGGGUGACCGGCCACAUUGGGACUGAGAUACGGCCCAGACUCCUACGGGAGGCAGCAGUGGGGAAUAUUGCACAAUGGGCGGAAGCCUGAGGCAGCAACGCCGCGUGCGGGAUGACGGCCUUCGGGUUGUAAACCGCUUUCGCCUGUGACGAAGCGUGAGUGACGGUAAUGGGUAAAGAAGCACCGGCUAACUACGUG